AGUGAACGCUGGCGGUAGGCCUAACACAUGCAAGUCGAACGGCAGCACAGUAAGAGCUUGCUCUUACGGGUGGCGAGUGGCGGACGGGUGAGGAAUACAUCGGAAUCUACUUUUUCGUGGGGGAUAACGUAGGGAAACUUACGCUAAUACCGCAUACGACCUACGGGUGAAAGCAGGGGAUCUUCGGACCUUUCGCGAUUGAAUGAGCCGAUGUCGGAUUAGCUAGUUGGCGGGGUAAAGGCCCACCAAGGCGACGAUCCGUAGCUGGUCUGAGAGGAUGAUCAGCCACACUGGAACUGAGACACGGUCCAGACUCCUACGGGAGGCAGCAGUGGGGAAUAUUGGACAAUGGGCGCAAGCCUGAUCCAGCCAUACCGCGUGGGUGAAGAAGGCCUUCGGGUUGUAAAGCCCUUUUGUUGGGAAAGAAAAGCAGCAGGAUAAUACCCCGCUGUUCUGACGGUACCCAAAGAAUAAGCACCGGCUAACUUCGUG
rnacentral:rRNA from 1 species